rnacentral:tRNA from 2 species
GCGAGAUUAAUUUAGUGGUAGAAUAUCUGCUUCCCAAGCAGAAAGCACCAGUUCGAUUCUGGUAUCUCGCACAA